GGGGGUGAACGGUUUCGACUCCGAUCGUUGAUCGAGGUGAAGCGUGCCGAGGAAGGCGACGAUGAUCUCGUUAACCAUGCGUCGCAAAAAAAUAAGUGCCGACAACAGUCGCACUGUCCCGGCUCAGGCUGCCAAGAGCGACUUCGCUCUCGCUGCCUGAUCCAGUAAGGGACUGUCGGUCCGGAGGCGUUCCCGCUCCGGAUCCCGGCAUCAUUUAGGGAACUCACCCUGCGGUUCGGCCGCGGAGACGCAGGGGACACCGAACAGCGGCUGGGAUCGUCACACCGGCUCGUCCGCGUGACCGGUGGAUCCGAGUAGAGACAGAGCGGACUGCGCACGGAGAAGCCCUCGUGAACCGACGGAGGACCCGGGUUCGAUUCCCGGCACCUCCACCA
rnacentral:tmRNA from 1 species